GCAGCCUUACUUGAACAGGAUCUGUUCUAUAGGCUCGUACCGCUGCAUCCUUUACCAAUAAGGAGGCAAACACUCAAGCGCUGGUUGACUUCAUUAAUGACUUGACAGAGU
rnacentral:snoRNA from 9 species